UAUUUGACAUGAUUAUUUUCUUAUUUUACGAUUUUCACAUAAAGAGGGAAUGGAGUGAACAUCUCCAGCUGUGCCGCAACCGUAAAAGCCGGAAUACUCGGAAAAACUUAGUUCCUGCG
rnacentral:ncRNA from 2 species